CCUACGGGAGGCUGCAGUAGGGAAUAUUGGUCAAUGGGCGCAAGCCUGAACCAGCCAUGCCGCGUGCAGGAAGACGGCCCUCUGGGUUGUAAACUGCUUUUGAUAGGGAACAAAUGCCACUUGCGAGUGGAGCUGAGUGUACCUAUAGAAUAAGCACCGGCUAACUCCGUGCCAGCAGCCGCGGUAAUACGGAGGGUGCAAGCGUUGUCCGGAUUUAUUGGGUUUAAAGGGUGCGUAGGCGGCCUAAUAAGUCAGUGGUGAAAGCCUCCAGCUUAACUGGAGAACUGCCAUUGAUACUGUUAGGCUUGAGUAUACUUGAGGUAGGCGGAAUUGACAGUGCAGCGGUGAAAUGCAUAGAUAUUGUCAAGAACACCAAUUGCGAAGGCAGCUUACUAAAUUAUAACUGACGCUGAGGCACGAAAGUGUGGGUAUCAAACAGG
rnacentral:rRNA from 1 species